UGGAGGACCGAACCGACUAAUGUUGAAAAAUUAGCGGAUGACCUGUGGCUGGGGGUGAAAGGCCAAUCAAACCGGGAGAUAGCUGGUUCUCCCCGAAAGCUAUUUAGGUAGCGCCUCGUGAAUUCAUCUCCGGGGGUAGAGCACUGUUUCGGCUAGGGGGCCAUCCCGGCUUACCAACCCGAUGCAAACUGCGAAUACCGGAGAAUGUUAUCACGGGAGACACACGGCGGGUGCUAACGUCCGUCGUGAAGAGGGAAACAACCCAGACCGCCAGCUAAGGUCCCAAAGUCAUGGUUAAGUGGGAAACGAUGUGGGAAGGCCCAGACAGCCAGGAUGUUGGCUUAGAAGCAGCCAUCAUUUAAAGAAAGCGUAAUAGCUCACUGGUCGAGUCGGCCUGCGCGGAAGAUGUAACGGGGCUAAACCAUGCACCGAAGCUGCGGCAGCGAACGUAUCACCCAAGACAACUUUACGGAGUUGACGAUUGACGGAGCGAAGCGACGUCAAAGCGUUCAUUAAAGUCGAGUUGGCUUAGGGAUACGUUCGUUGGGUAGGGGAGCGUUCUGUAAGCCUGUGAAGGUGUGUCGUGAGGCAUGCUGGAGGUAUCAGAAGUGCGAAUGCUGACAUAAGUAACGAUAAAGCGGGUGAAAAGCCCGCUCGCCGGAAGACCAAGGGUUCCUGUCCAACGUUAAUCGGGGCAGGGUGAGUCGACCCCUAAGGCGAGGCCGAAAGGCGUAGUCGAUGGGAAACGGGUUAAUAUUCCCGUACUUGGUGUUACUGCGAAGGGGGGACGGAGAAGGCUAUGUUGGCCGGGCGACGGUUGUCCCGGUUUAAGCGUGUAGGUGUGUGUUCCAGGUAAAUCCGGUUCACUUUAACACUGAGGCGUGACGACGAGGCACUACGGUGCUGAAGCAACAAAUGCCCUGCUUCCAGGAAAA
rnacentral:rRNA from 1 species